rnacentral:rRNA from 1 species
AGUCGAACGCGAAAGUUUCCUUCGGGGAACAAGUAGAGUGGCGCACGGGUGAGUAACACGUAGGUAAUCUACCUUUGGAUGGGGAAUAACAACCGGAAACGGUUGCUAAUACCGCAUAAUGCAGCGGCACCUAAUGGUGACAGUUGUUAAAGCGGGGGAUCGAAAGACCUCGCGUCUGAAGAGGAGCCUGCGGCGGAUUAGCUAGUUGGUAAGGUAACGGCUUACCAAGGCAAUGAUCCGUAGCCGGCCUGAGAGGGCGGUCGGCCACACUGACACUGACAUACGGGUCAGACUCCUACGGGAGGCAGCAGUCGGGAAUUUUGGGCAAUGGGCGAAAGCCUGACCCAGCAACGCCGCGUGAAGGAUGAAAUCCCUCGGGAUGUAAACUUCGCAAGAACGGGAAGAAUAAGUAAGGGUUAACACCUCUUACGAUGACGGUACUGUUUGUAAGCUCCGGCUAACUCCGUGCCAGCAGCCGCGGUAAUACGGGGGGAGCAAGCGUUGUUCGGAUUUACUGGGCGUAAAGGGCGCGUAGGCGGCCACCGCAAGUCGGUUGUGAAAUCUCUGGGCUUAACCCAGAAAGGUCAACCGAUACUGCGGGGCUAGAGUGCAGAAGGGGCAACUGGAAUUCUCGGUGUAGCGGUGAAAUGCGUAGAUAUCGAGAGGAACACCUGCGGCGAAGGCGGGUUGCUGGGCUGACACUGACGCUGAAGUGCGAAAGCUAGGGGAGCGAACGGGAUUAGAUACCCCGGUAGUCCUAGCCUUAAACGAUGAAUGCUUGGUGUCUGGGGUUUUAUAGUCCCCGGGUGCC